CCUACGGGUGGCAGCAGUAGGGAAUAUUGCUCAAUGGGGGAAACCCUGAAGCAGCAACGCCGCGUGGAGGAUGAAGGUUUUCGGAUUGUAAACUCCUUUUGUUAGAGAAGAUAAUGACGGUAUCUAACGAAUAAGCACCGGCUAACUCCGUGCCAGCAGCCGCGGUAAUACGGAGGGUGCAAGCGUUACUCGGAAUCACUGGGCGUAAAGAGCGCGUAGGCGGGAUAGCAAGUCAGAUGUGAAAUCCUAGGGCUUAACCAUAGAACUGCAUUUGAAACUGUUAGUCUAGAGUAUGGGAGAGGUAUGUGGAAUUCUUGGUGUAGGGGUGAAAUCCGUAGAGAUCAAGAGGAAUACUCAUUGCGAAGGCGACCUGCUAGAACAUAACUGACGCUGAGGCGCGAAAGCGUGGGGAGCAAACAGGAUUAGAUACCCUUGUAGUC
rnacentral:rRNA from 1 species